rnacentral:tRNA from 1 species
UCACCGUGGCCUACUGGUUAGCGCUUCGGACUUGUAACCGGAGGGUUGCCGGUUCGAACCCCGACCAGUAG